rnacentral:misc_RNA from 1 species
GGGCACCGGCGGUUCUGACUCUGAUACUCGGUAUGUGGUUUUUUAAUUUUUUUACGUUGACGAAACUGCCCUUCGAGAAGCUCGAUAUUUACUUGGACACGAGGUUGCCUCUUCUUUUUUUUUUUCUUCCUUACAAUCUUGCCCUUGUUGCAUGGAUAUAUUUCGUGAAUAUCGAGGGCUGAAUCGGACAUUUUAGGACCGGAUCGGGAUAUUCCCGGUCGCCGGGCAUGCCGCUAACUUUUUAAAAACAAAAUAUUUGAAAUUCUUUUUGACUGAAAUGCCCUUUUAUUUUCAUGUCAUGUCUUAUUGAAUUUUUUUUUCAUAUUAUUGGUACAAAUUUUUUCUGUAAAUUCCAGUUUUUGUUGAACGCAUGGGAGGCUGAGGGUCAGAGGGUUUGACAAGUCAUUGCACAUCUCUAACUAAAAAGACCACAAGGCCCUUAUCCGGAAGGGCAUUAUAGUCUAAGGAUCAGUUCCAGAAUCGAAGCGAUGUGUCCGGUCUGUACCUGAUCGUGUACAAAUUCCCGUAAACGACGAUUCUGUCCUUACCUAGAGUCAAACCUCCUGAACUUGUAUUUAGCUUUUCUCUACCAUGAAAAGAAAACUUCUUUAUUUAAAGAUUUUAUCUUGAAGGAUAUUUUGGUCAAAGAGAAAAUGAGUUCUUUUCGUUUGGAAAAUUUUUUCAUAAAAAAAAAAAAUUAACCUGUUUAAGCGGUGGGGUGGCGUGUCUUCGUGGUAAAGUAGGUCUGGGUGUAGUUCUGUGCAGUGUUGUUAGUUGUUAUGCGCUUUAUUGGGCAAAUGAUUUGGUGUAGUCGCCGCAACAGCUCCAGUUACAGUGGGCGCACCAAAACCUUGUAUUUUCUCACGUGACAGCUCCAUCGCAACCCUUUUUAUGGGUUCUGUAACUCUUAUUAAGCGUGGAAGCAGUUGAUUGGGGCAUGUAGUAUUUGAAGAAUAAUAUUGACAGGCUGUCUAUGGGUUAUGGUGGGUCCAGUCCAGAAAAGUAGAAUUUCUUUGGUCAAUUAAAUGUUGCAUAUAAUGGAGCUGAAAGCAGGGAAUUAAUAAGCUCGAUUGAACUUGAAAUAAAGGUAAAAGUUGAUUUUUAGAGGCGAAUUAGCUUGGGAACAGAAGUGGGGACCAAAUUCAUUGUACAAGCUGACGUGUUUUUUAAUGUCCAACUA